ensembl:lncRNA
GGGGGGUUGGGGAAGGUGGACAAUGUUCUUUUUUGUUUUAUCUUCCUGUUUAUACUGAUUUUAUUAUUUAUAUUUAAACUCUCUAUGUAUUUCUUACAUAGUUGUCUUCUCUUGAGUACAGGUUGUAUAAACGUAUAUGAAAUGGACAAUGUACCUGUAAACCCCCUAACAAAACAAUGUCAAAACAAAUAAACAAUUGGUCACAAAAAACUACUUUACAUGGAAGGAUUGCUUUUGAUUUGACAGCCUGCACAUGACAACCGUUAGACCUGAUGACGUGUUCUGCACAUGGGCAGUUCAGGACAACAGUUAGACCUGAUGACGUGUUCUGCACAUGGGCAGUUCAGGACAACCAUUAGACCUGAUGAUGUGUUCUGCACAUGGGCAGUUCAGGACAACCCUUAGACCUGAUGAUGUGUUCUGCACAUGGGCAGUUCAGGACAACCCUUAAACCUGAUGAUGUGUUCUGCACAUGAGCUUAGCGAGCCAACGUUGCCAUGACAUCGCCUACAAACAUUAUCGAGGAUUUCUAUUGGAGAAAUAGUUUCUUCCUUCAUACUGUCCUGCUAUGGUAAAGACAUUCUCUUGAGUAGUUAUCAGACCGAGUACUGUAAGGCAUGUUGUAAUGGUAACCAUGGUAAAGUGAUGACAUCACUCACGUCAUCCAAAAACAUGGCAGCCAUUGGAUGAGAACGACUUCCCACUCUCAUUAAAGCCACAGAAGUUCGAGGCAGGCUGCGGUACCGCAGGCAUUGUUUGCAAAAACAGGAUUCUCCAUUAUAGUGAAUUUGACAUUUUUUGAUCAUCGUGGUCAAUCUUUGUGUAAUUAAAAACCAAUUUUUGAAGACAGUCAUGCUGCCAAUAAUUGCUUCUGAAACACCAGAUAUAUGUCCUCAAACCGAUAUUUUUUUCUAUCGCAGGAUAAGGAUUAGUUGAUGCUAAUGACUGUCUGCAGUACCCCGGUCGGCCUACAAUGUGAGUUAAUCAAUGAGAAGGGGCAGCACUGAGCUAGUCUGCAACGUCACAUUCUGGAGUAGCUCAAACGGCUGCAUGUCAUGUCUCCAUGAGACGCCAUCUUACCCAAAUUAAUUUGGCUUCAAUGCGCUAUCGAGUCUUCACAUAGGAAUGAAUUGUGUCACGCGAUCAAUGGCUUUGUCCAUUCAUUGGUGCAGAGAGUCAUGGUCCUGUUGUCUGUGGAUGUACUGUAUCGAGAGCAGACACUCAUUAACACUCAAUAGUGCAGAUCAAUAAACGUGCUACACUGUAACUGUGCGCUAUCUUACCAGUUCCUAUGGUCAUUGCCACAGAGUCGGUCAAGACAGCACAAACAGAUCGUUACAUUAUAUCUGGUCUGGUCUGUCUGGCGUUACUGUACGAUAGCCAAGCUAUUCCGCUGACUGUUUCUUUCAGACAACAAAGAAGAAGAAGACAAUCAUUUGAAUUGAUCCAUCUAUUGAACAUCACCUUGGUUACUAGUUUGGGACUGAGAUGAAAAACAAAGACAAUGAGUCAGUUUAGCCUGGUCCCAGAUCUGUUGGUGCUGUCUUGCCAACUCAUAUGGACCUUGUCAUGGAUGUGGCUGUAUACAGCACAAAUAGAUCUGGCGCCAGGCUAUAGGAUCGAUUCUCUUCUGUUGUGACAUCAGGCUAUAGGAUCGAUUCCCUUCUGUUGUGACAUCAGGCUAUAGGAUCGCACCUCUUCUGUUGUGACAUCAGGCUAUAGGAUCGAUUCCCUUCUGUUGUGACAUCAGGCUAUAGGAUCGGUUGUGACAUCAGGCUAUUCUCUUCUGUUGUGACAUCAGGCUAUAGGAUCGAUUCUCUUCUGUUGUGACAUCAGGCUAUAGGAUCGAUUCUCUUCUGUUGUGACAUCAGGCUAUAGUAUCGAUUCCCUUCUGUUGUGACAUCAGGCUAUAGGAUCGAUUCUCUUCUGUUGUGACAUCAGGAUAUAAGAUCGAUUCCCUUCUGUUGUGACAUCAGGCUAUAGGAUCGAUUCCCUUCUGUUGUGACAUCAGGCUAUAGGAUCGAUUCUCUUCUGUUGUGACAUCAGGCUAUAGGAUCGAUUCCCUUCUGUUGUGACAUCAGGCUAUAGGAUCGAUUCUCUUCUGUUGUGACAUCAGGCUAUAGGAUCGAUUCUCUUCUGUUGUGACAUCAGUCUAUAGGAUCGAUUCUCUUCUGUUGUGACAUCAGUCUAUAGGAUCGAUUCUCUUCUGUUGUGACAUCAGGCUAUAGGAUCGAUUCUCUUCUGUUGUGACAUCAGGCUAUAGGAUCGAUUCUCUUCUGUUGUGACAUCAGGCUAUAGUAUCGAUUCCCUUCUGUUGUGACAUCAGGCUAUAGGAUCGAUUCUCUUCUGUUGUGACAUCAGGAUAUAAGAUCGAUUCCCUUCUGUUGUGACAUCAGUCUAUAGGAUCGAUUCUCUUCUGUUGUGACAUCAGUCUAUAGGAUCGAUUCUCUUCUGUUGUGACAUCAGUCUACAGGAUCGAUUCUCUUCUGUUGUGACAUCAGUCUAUAGGAUCGAUUCUCUUCUGUUGUGACAUCAGGCUAUAGUAUCGAUUCUCUUCUGUUGUGACAUCAGUCUAUAGGAUCGAUUCUCUUCUGUUGUGACAUCAGGCUAUAGGAUCGAUUCUCUUCUGUUGUGACAUCAUCACAACAUCAUCCUCUUCAGAUGGGAGACAAGUACUGCAGUCGUCAUGGUGAAGUCCAGGGAUUCCCAAAAGGGGGACCAAGUUCAACGACGAUAAUUUAAAAGUCCAAUCUAGACUGAAAUAACAUCUAUAGACCUACACCUCACCCACAAAACUGGGCAGGGAGGAGAAGAAAUUAUAUUUACAAAACAAAUGUAUUUUAAAAUGUUUCAUUUUUCGUUAACUCCUUUCAAUUGAACACACAAACACAAUCCUGAUUUAUCAAAACAUCUAACAUUCCACGUUUUAUGGUUCAUAUAUAUCCUCAUUCUGUCCUCUGUAUAACUAUCAAAACAAUCUCAUAAAGUCAGAGAAACCACUGGUUAGCAUGAUACAAAAACAAGCUCUCUCUCUCUCUCUCGUAAACCUGUCAACACGACAUGCAACACACAAACUCAUCACAACAACACAACCACAUACCCCUGCCCAUGUCCAAACCCAUCAGCUGAGAUAGAGAAGACUUUCUCAAAGGGCUUCACUAAGACAUUAUUAUAAACCAUCUCUAAUAUAUAUAUAUUAUUGCAUUAUUAUAAACCAUCUCUUACAUAACAGCAGCUAUAUGGCCAUGUUCUGAAAGCAAAAUUAUCUUAUGGACAAUCUAUCUAUCUUUUCCAUCAGUCUAUCUAAUCCUCCUCACCCUGUCUCCAGAGCCAAACAAGUGGCACCUCAUUCCCUGCUCUCUGCAGAGACUCUGUGUGUAAUACCAUCUUUUCCCACUAGGUGGCAGAGAGGCCGUUAUAUAGCUCAUGCCAAGCCAGCGGGACCGGAUGGGCUUUUAAAAGAUUUCGUUUUUUAAAGAGUGAUAAAGACAAAGACUGUCAGUCACUAAGGGUUCUAUUCGAUCUGUAUCGCAGAAGUUCCGCUUUUACAGCGUGAUUGAAAUGUAAAGGUAAUGUAGCAGAGACUGCAUUCACGGUAAACACUGCGUAUGUCGGCUCAAAUUUUCCUUCACAUUUCUAUCGUGGGAAUCUGUAAACGCUUCAGCUUUCCUUUUGAACAGAGGUCUAAAUAUCUGCUUUGAAUGCUUUCGGUUAAAGAGUGGUUCAUUGCCUCUAUUCAAAACGACUGGGCUCUGGUUUCGAGAGAUUACAUGGGCUUGGAGGUAUUAUUUUAAGCUUAAAAACACAAUUCCUAAGUGUAAAAGGGCCAGAAAUGUCUCUUUUAAGUUGGUGUAAAAACCUCAAGAAAUUCGAAAUCUUAAAUAUUUUGCAAAACAGUCUUUAAAAACACCUGUGGUAUAGUAGUGUUACCCUGCGUACACAACAUCCUCUUUCCAAGGUCUACGUACAAAACAUGCCAGCUACAAAACCUAAGCAAACAGAUUUCCAUAACAAGGGACAGUUCCCACUAUUAUAUUCUAAAAUCUAUACAGCCGACCCGGGAGACAGAGAGUACGUGACAGAUGUGGAAGGAUAUAGCUUCACAUCCCCCACAGCAGAU